GGAGUCGUGGCCGAGUGGUUAAGGCGUCUGACUAGAAAUCCGAUUCCCUCUGGGAGUGUAGGUUCGAGUCCUACUGACUGUG